CCAUCACCACCAGUCAGUGCUUUGUUACACGUUGCACUGCACGGUUCCAGUGAUUGCAGAGCUCCCGUUUGAUCCCACAAGCACGUCGCUUAAGUGCACUACAUAUAUCUACUGAACAACGUUAUCAAGUUUAUCAUGUGCUAGUUGACAAGAUAUAAUAGUGUACAGAUUCAAUCUCAUUUAUCAUUGCUGUGAAACAACAUCAUGCUGCUGAUACUUUCAAACUAACGGUAGUGGUGCGGAUCGUAGAGCGAUCGUUCUGAGCGAGAGAAAAACAAAUCUGAUCUAGAGUGACCGGCGAGGUGGAUCUAAUUGUCGUUCUCGCUGCGAAAAACUCGUGUACAAUUUACAAGCAAAAGUGCCAAAUUUCGCACAGUGUUCGUAAGUGCUGAUAAUCUAAAAAUAAAGAUCGGCAGCGGUACCUCAAAAUCGAACGGAACGUCAACAAAGGAUUUGUUGCAACUGACGCAUUUUGGGGGCUUAUCAAUCGACUCGGACCGCACUGCGAUUGAACUCCGUGGAGGGUCAUGGCACGCGCCGAUAUUGGCACGAUUGCAAAGGUCGCCGCACCUCGGAUGAUACUGUUCCUGAUCACAUUUAUCCUAUACUUUUCACUAAUUAGCCUAACCGAAAAAGGUACUGUCGUAUCCACUGUUUUGAAAUGUCUGCCAAUUGUGAGCCUGUGGAUCUUUGUACUGCUUACAGGUUUCGAAUUGAAGAAAAGCCACAAGUACAAACAUCUAAUCCUGGUUGGAUUAAUAUUCUCAUGUUCCGGAGACAUACUACUCAACUACGACCUCUUUGAGGCCGGAAUGGCCGGCUUCGGACUGGCUCAAGUUUUCUACAUAUCAGCCUUCGGAUUCCACCCUCUGCGACCAUGGUUUGCACUGCCUCUCUAUGGGAUCGGAGCCGCAGCAGUGGGCCUGAUGUUUAACAACUUGCCACUUAUCAUCAAAAUUUGUCUUCCAAUCUAUGGUGCCCUACUGUUGACUAUGUGCUGGCGGUCCCUGUCACGAAUCGACUCUGCUAAGAACAUCCUCCGUAUGGCUUGCGGACUAGGGAGCAUACUCUUCGUUAUAUCCGAUAGUAUUAUUGCGUUCGACAAGUUCUACACUCCAAUAAGUAACGCCCAGGUUGGCAUCAUGGUCACCUAUUACGUGGCCCAGUUUGGAAUCGCACUAAGUGUCAUCGAGCAGCCAGGCUCUGUGAAAACUGCCAAAUCUUCAUCGCCCAAGCGAAGCCAAAACGGUAUGAAGAAGAAGAAAUCUUCUAAGGAAAAAUAAGAAAGACAUCGAUAAAACAUCUAACAUCAUUCUUUAAACACGCAUUUGAAAGCAUUCCUUCAUAUGAACGAACACUUACAUAAUUCCAUAUGUAAAGUUUUUGACGUGAAGAUAUUCGAAAAUAAUAUGGAGCCAUGAUGAAAGAGAUUAGAAACCAUAGACUGUGAUCUAUUAUCUUCCCUCGAGCUUUGAGGAUCUACAAACCACCACCAACAAUAUCUGCUUGCGCGAAGAAUGUAUUUGGAGUACACCGAAUGGUAAAGUGGCUCGAUUAAGACUCGAAAAAUAUAACAAAAAUAUAGCCAUUACAGGCGAAAUACAAUGCAGUUUUCAAUUAUUAGAUGUUGAACCUAGUUCAAGUUAAUUCGUAUCAAUGACAAAAAAUGUAGACAAAAUGAGAGACUGUGUAAGUUAUUUUAGAUAUUAGAGGAAUUUACCAUCAAGAAAAAUAAAAUACAAUUCAACGUUCCUUAA